GAGUUAGUUUUGGCAGCACAGUUAUUAAAAUUGGAAUGACAUAGAGAUGAUCAUGGCCUCUAUAUAAGGAUGGCAGCCAAAUCUGUGAAGUGUUUCACAUUUUU